rnacentral:rRNA from 1 species
UUCGUAGGUGGCUUGCUAAGUCAGACGUGAAAUCCCUCAGCUUAACUGGGGAACUGCGUCUGAUACUGGCGAGCUUGAGUGCAGGAGAGGAACGCAGAAUUCCAGGUGUAGCGGUGAAAUGCGUAGAUAUCUGGAGGAAUACCGGUGGCGAAGGCGGCGUUCUGGACUGCAACUGACACUGAUGAACGAAAGCCAGGGGAGCAAACG